rnacentral:rRNA from 1 species
UACGGGGGGGGCAAGCGUUGUUCGGAAUUACUGGGCGUAAAGGGCGCGUAGGUGGCCAACUAAGUCAGACGUGAAAUCCCUCGGCUUAACCGAGGAACUGCCAUCCAGACUGCUUUGCUUGAGGCCGGGAGAGGUGAGUGGAAUUCCCAGUGUAGCGGUGAAAUGCGUAGAUAUUGGGAGGAACACCAGUGGCGAAGGCGGCUCACUGGACCGGUUCUGACGCUGAGGCGCGAAAGCGUGGGGAGCAAACAGG